UGCAAUAAUAGUCAAGAUAGCAGAGAGUAGGCUCUUUCAACAAUGACACCAAACGGUGAUGAAGGUGGUCUUGGUCGCGCUGUUGGGCGGGUGUAAGGGACCAGCCCUGCCGAAAGCGCAGGUCUGUGUGGGUCUAGAGAUGGUUGAAGUCCCGAAAGCAUGGAGGGGAGUUCCACCGUCUAAUUCAAGAUCUUCAACUGUUUGGAGAAGAAUUUCGAAGUUACUUUCGAUGGUUGGAGCCAGGAUCGCCCGGAUGGAUACCAACUACUGGGAGUCCAUCAGCCCAGUUAAACGCCUGGCGAUUUGUCUCCGAGGUCAUUCCAGGAGCCGCUCUGGGUGGAGACGGGCACGCCAAAUGGUCACCUACCUGAUGUCACCAGGGCAUGUGCCAACAACACCCCCAGACAGGCACUCCAGGUGAGGGAGAAGCUGACCACCUACUUCAUCACCAGCAGGUGAAGUCCCAUGACAAUAUGCCGUGGAGUGAAACAGCUCUUUGAAGAACCCCCUAACACCAAGGUUAUUUUAAGAACCAUCCACCGCUGUCCAUGAAAUUGCAUUUUUCCCCCAGAUUACUUUAAGUCUCAUUGUUUCUCUUCAUUUGGAAGUUAUAUUUAAGUGAAAUUUGGGAGUAAAGACCACACCUUAACCCCUUCCCUCUCCCAUUAACAUCAGUAUUAUACACACCUGGCAUGGUACAUCAGAUGAGCAGGACCUCUAAGGUUAUACGACAUACAGUUAGUAUGAUAAUGGGAAAAGUUAACCUUGGGUCCAUACAAAUAGUACAGUUUACCAACAUAUUCACUGCUCUGACAAAAUGCAGGUGGAGAAAAAACUAAUUAGGAAGCAAAUGUGUUUUUACUUUAAUCUUGUGUUAGAUCUGCAAAAGGUGUAGGGAAGAAAUAAGCAGAUUAAGUCUAAAUGAGAUAUUAAUAAACAAAUUAAACUGACUAUGAAAACAUUAGAAUUUAAUAAGUAUUGAAGUCCAGGAAAGAACAUGACAGGUAUGUGUUGUAAAACUGUUACAAAAAAUAAAAACUAUUGAAAGA